rnacentral:rRNA from 1 species
GACGAACGCUGGCGGCGUGCUUAACACAUGCAAGUCGAACGGAAAGGCCCUGCUUUUGUGGGGUGCUCGAGUGGCGAACGGGUGAGUAACACGUGAGUAACCUGCCCUUGACUUUGGGAUAACUUCAGGAAACUGGGGCUAAUACCGGAUAGGAGCUCCUGCUGCAUGGUGGGGGUUGGAAAGUUUCGGCGGUUGGGGAUGGACUCGCGGCUUAUCAGCUUGUUGGUGGGGUAGUGGCUUACCAAGGCUUUGACGGGUAGCCGGCCUGAGAGGGUGACCGGCCACAAUGGGACUGAGGUACGGCCCAGACUCCUACGGGAGGCAGCAGUGGGGAAUAUUGCACAAUGGGCGGGAGCCUGAUGCAGCAACGCCGCGUGCGGGAUGACGGCCUUCGGGUUGUAAACCGCUUUCGCCUGUGACGAAGCGUAAGUGACGGUAAUGGGUAAAGAAGCACCGGCUAACUACGUG